rnacentral:rRNA from 1 species
CGACCUUGAAAUACCACCCUUUAAUGUUUGAUGUUCUAACGUUGACCCGUAAUCCGGGUUGCGGACAGUGUCUGGUGGGUAGUUUGACUGGGGCGGUCUCCUCCUAAAGAGUAACGGAGGAGCACGAAGGUUGGCUAAUCCUGGUCGGACAUCAGGAGGUUAGUGCAAUGGCAUAAGCCAGCUUGACUGCGAGCGUGACGGCGCGAGCAGGUGCGAAAGCAGGUCAUAGUGAUCCGGUGGUUCUGAAUGGAAGGGCCAUCGCUCAACGGAUAAAAGGUACUCCGGGGAUAACAGGCUGAUACCGCCCAAGAGUUCAUAUCGACGGCGGUGUUUGGCACCUCGAUGUCGGCUCAUCACAUCCUGGGGCUGAAGUAGGUCCCAAGGGUAUGGCUGUUCGCCAUUUAAAGUGGUACGCGAGCUGGGUUUAGAACGUCGUGAGACAGUUCGGUCCCUA